GCAGGGAUCGGGGUUUUCACCAUCAUGUCAUCUCAUACUCUAACAGGGUUACAUGGCAGGGUGGUGAAAACAUCAGGGUCCCGUUUGCACUACAACUUCCAGUGGUGCCUCACUGGUGGUGAAUUAUGCCUACCAGGCGUGCUAGUGUGCAAUCAAGUGCCCUCCCCCUUCACUGUGGCACUAUGAGCAAAAGGGUGCAAAAUGGCAGAUGCUUCUUUGGCCACCGACCCAAUUGGUUGAAACCCAUCAGCCAUUAGCUCAGAAGCAAAUCCACACAUUUCCUGUCACACAUUUACCCCAGUUCUCAGAAACUGCAAAAAUAACUAUACAAGGUGUCAAAGUAGCAGCCGUGUUAGUCUGUAUUCGCAAAAAGAAAAGAG